rnacentral:rRNA from 1 species
UACGAAGGGGGCUAGCGUUGCUCGGAAUCACUGGGCGUAAAGCGCACGUAGGCGGCUUGUUAAGUCAGGGGUGAAAUCCUGGAGCUCAACUCCAGAACUGCCUUUGAUACUGGCGAGCUUGAGUUCGGGAGAGGUGAGUGGAACUGCGAGUGUAGAGGUGAAAUUCGUAGAUAUUCGCAAGAACACCAGUGGCGAAGGCGGCUCACUGGCCCGAUACUGACGCUGAGGUGCGAAAGCGUGGGGAGCAACAGGG